rnacentral:tRNA from 1 species
GGGGUGUUAGCUCAGUUGGUUUAGAGCGCAUGCUUGACAGGCAUGAGGUCAGCAGUUCGAUUCUGCUACGCCCCACCA